rnacentral:rRNA from 1 species
UACGUAGGGGGCAAGCGUUGUCCGGAUUUAUUGGGCGUAAAGAGCGUGUAGGCGGUUAUACAGGUCCGCCGUGAAAACUGGAGGCUUAACCUCCAGACGUCGGUGGAAACCGUAUGACUAGAGUCCGGAAGAGGAGAGUGGAAUUCCUGGUGUAGCGGUGAAAUGCGCAGAUAUCAGGAAGAACACCCGUGGCGAAGGCGGCUCUCUGGGACGGUACUGACGCUGAGACGCGAAAGCGUGGGGAGCGAACAGG